rnacentral:rRNA from 1 species
CGAACGGGUGAGUAACACGUGGGCAACCUGCCCAAAAGAGGGGGAUAACACUUGGAAACAGGUGCUAAUACCGCAUAACCAUAGUUACCGCAUGGUAACUAUGUAAAAGGUGGCUAUGCUACCGCUUUUGGAUGGGCCCGCGACGCAUUAGCUAGUUGGUGGGGUAGAGGCUUACCAAGGCAAUGAUGCGUAGCCGAACUGAGAGGUUGAUCGGCCACAUUGGGACUGAGACACGGACCAGACUCCUACGGAAGGCAGCAG